rnacentral:lncRNA from 1 species
CUUUACGCAUAUAUGAAAUGAUACUAGCAGAUAUACUAUGUAAUUAUUAUUGACCGUGUUUUUGUUGUUUUGUAUUUUGUUUUGAUCUUUUUAUGAUUUUUCUUCUUUUGAGCCAUUUGAAUCUUUAGUCCAAUAUUGAAGUGUUAAAUAUAUUAAAUAGAGAUGACUCCAUAAGUCUGUUUCACUUGUGUCUAAUUCAAUGUGUGUAUUUGCACAAUAAAAUGUUUUAUAAUAAACGAAAUCAAA